UAGGGAAUCUUCCGCAAUGGGCGAAAGCUUGACGGAGCAACGCCGCGUGAGUGAUGAAGGUCUUCGGAUCGUAAAACUCUGUUAUUAGGGAAGAACAAAUGUGUAAGUAACUAUGCACGUCUUGACGGUACCUAAUCAGAAAGCCACGGCUAACUACGUGCCAGCAGCCGCGGUAAUACGUAGGUGGCAAGCGUUAUCCGGAAUUAUUGGGCGUAAAGCGCGCGUAGGCGGUUUUUUAAGUCUGAUGUGAAAGCCCACGGCUCAACCGUAGAGGGUCAUUGGAAACUGGAAAACUUGAGUGCAGAAGAGGAAAGUGGAAUUCCAUGUGUAGCGGUGAAAUGCGGAGAGAUAUGGGGGAACACCAGUGGCGAAGGCGACUUUCUGGUCUGUAACUGACGCUGAUGUGCGAAAGCGUGGGGAUCAAACAGG
rnacentral:rRNA from 1 species